rnacentral:rRNA from 1 species
GAUGAACGCUGGCGGCGUGCCUAACACAUGCAAGUCGAACGGAGUUACUUUGGUGAAGUUUUCGGACGGAUCUGAUUUAACUUAGUGGCGGACGGGUGAGUAAUGCGUGAGCAACCUGCCCUUCAGAGGGGGACAACAGUUGGAAACAACUGCUAAUACCGCAUAAUGUAUCCGGGAGGCAUCUCCUGGAUACCAAAGGAGAAAUCCGCUGAUGGAUGGGCUCACGUCUGAUUAGCUAGUUGGUGAGGUAACGGCUCACCAAGGCUGCGAUCAGUAGCCGGACUGAGAGGUUGAACGGCCACAUUGGGACUGAGAUACGGCCCAGACUCCUACGGGAGGCAGCAGUGGGGAAUAUUGGGCAAUGGGCGAAAGCCUGACCCAGCAACGCCGCGUGAAGGAAGAAGGCCUCGGUUGUAACGUUACUUUAAGUAGGGACGAAGAAGUAGACGGUACCGU